CGGACGCAUGCUGCGAGCCAGUCCCAGCCCCGGAAAUGCCUCGACGGAUCGGAUCCGCCCAAAUCUGCAACCUAGUAGCCAGCUAGGCUGAUCUCUGAAUUGCGAAUUGCCUACCCAAAUGCGAAUCGGAUGUCGGAUCCGCUGCGGAGAUGCGAUGCGAGAGCGAGCCCGAGCGUUCAACUCGCAGCAGAAAUGUUCCGCUCGGGCGAGCUCCACAGCAGCCGCUGAGUCAGCUGCCUUGUCCACGUAUACAGCCGAGUAGAUAAAGCUAGAGCCGGCUAUGAAUGAAUCCAACAGCGAAUCCACAGCAGCAAACCGCCAAACCCAAACCCGGCGGCGAGAUCCACGCGGCAGGCGGACGGGGGCGCCCGCCUUCGUGCCGUGCGCGCCUCCCCUCCCAUCCCCUUCCGUUCUCCGCUCCCGGCGCACGCGAAGGCGAAUCGCUGAAUUGGGGGGUUCCAAUUCAUGACGGUGCGGCCGGGGUGGGUGGUGUGGGUGGCGCGGGGCUCGGCGGCGGCGUGGCAGCGCGUGGCGUGCAACCCGGAGACGCUGCCGCCCGACCGCGUCCUCGCGCUCAUCUGCUGCGCGCCGCUCCACCUCCUCGCGCGCCUCGCCGCCUUCCUCUGCGUCCCCUUCCUUCCCGGGCCCGCCCGCCGCGCCCCGCUCCACCUCCGCCGCGGCCGCCGCUUCCUCGUCCUCCGGCCCCCCGAGCUUUUGCCGCAACCUUUCGCUUACUCGUCCUCCUCCUCUUCCUCUUCUUCGUCGGAUGAGGAGGAAGACGACGACGGGGACGACAUUCACCAACACGUCGAUUGAGCCAAGUGAAGACUGGGUGCUCUGGAAGGUUUUGGAAGGCUAGUUUGUAUACUCUGCUCGAAGAAUAUGUUGCGUUGCUCCACUGAUAUAUCCAGGUUGCUUGAAGAUAAUAAGGCUCAGAAAAGGAGAAUUUGGGGAUUCAGGAGGGAAAAAUGAACACUAGCAUGUUGUACUCGAUGCUGAACCGUUCGCCCUUCUAUCUCAUGGUUUUCAGGAUUUAGCAUUCUGACGCCGUUCAUUGUUAAUAUAAAGCCCAUAUAGGUCAGAAGCUCGGCAAAAAGGAUACCAACGGAUGAAACUGGUUUUAGCUGUGAUUAUUAUUGUUGUUGUUUAAACGAUCUACUGAUUUCUUUAUAUACAUAUUGAAAAGAAGAAAAAACCCAGACUA